CAGGUCGUGUUUUUGUAGC
rnacentral:miRNA from 1 species